rnacentral:rRNA from 2 species
CCUUACUACUUGGAUAACCGUGGUAAUUCUAGAGCUAAUACAUGCAAAAAGCCCCGACUUCGGGAGGGGCGUAUUUAUUAGAUAAAAAACCAACGCCCUCCGGGGCUCCUUGGUGAUUCAUGAUAACUUAUCGGAUCGCAUGGCCCUUGCGCCGGCGACGGUUCAUUCAAAUUUCUGCCCUAUCAACUUUCGAUGGUAAGGUAUUGGCUUACCAUGGUUUCAACGGGUAACGGGGAAUUGGUUCGAUUCCGGAGAAGGAGCCUGAGAGACGGCUACUACAUCCAAGGAAGGCAGCAGGCGCGCAAAUUGCCCAAUCCCGACACGGGGAGGCAGUGACAAUACGUACUGAUAUUGGGCUCUUUUGGGUCUAAUAAUCGGAAUGAGUACAAUCUAAAUCCAAUAACGAGGAACCAUCGGAGGGCAAGUCUGGUGCCAGCAGCCGCGGUAAUUCCAGCUCCAAUAGCGUAUAUUAAAGUUGCUGCAGUUAAAAAGCUCGUAGUUGAACCUUGGGUCCGGCCUCCCGGUCCGCCUCACCGCGUGCAUUGGGUUGGCCGGGCCUUUCCUUCUGGAGAACCGUAUGCCCUUUACUGGGCGUGCGUGGGAACCAGGACUUUUACUUUGAAAAAAUUAGAGUGUUCAAAGCAGGCCUCCGCUCGAAUACGUUAGCAUGGGAUAAUAGAAUAGGACGUGCGGUCCUAUUUUGUUGGUUUCUAGGACCGCCGUAAUGAUUAAUAGGGAUAGUCGGGGGCAUCAGUAUUCAAUUGUCAGAGGUGAAAUUCUUGGAUUUAUUGAAGACUAACUACUGCGAAAGCAUUUGCCAAGGAUGUUUUCAUUAAUCAGUGAACGAAAGUUAGGGGAUCGAAGACGAUCAGAUACCGUCGUAGUCUUAACCGUAAACUAUGCCGACUAGGGAUCGGGCGAUGUUUCUAUAUUGACUCGCUC